UCCAAAAACAUUUCCGCCUCUGUUUUUUGUCUUCAAAAACGGAAACAACGUCAUUGGCUGGAGCGGCGCUUCGGCCACCUCUCUCCGUUCCGAGUGCCUCUUUGGAUUUGGGUGCCCAGCGGCAACCAUGAUACGCGUGGUGAUCGUGAUGAACACCGAGGGCAAGCCCCGCCCCCUCAAGUUUUAUGACUUCCGGGUCCCCGAAAUCUCCUCCUUUUUCUCUCUUCUGCCUUGAUGUUUGCAUUCCAAUUGGAAUCGUCUCUUUAGAUUGACUGCUCUUGCAUGCUCUUCUCUUGAAGUCCAGCCCCCGGAGAAACAGCAGGAGCUCAUACGCAGCGUCUUCACAGGUCGGAAGCCUGUAAUCCCAAUAAUCUGGAAAAGAACCCUCAAUUCACCCCUCUUACUUCGUUCGUUUUAUAUCUUCGCUACAAAAUUUCCAUUAAUAUUUUUACGUCAUUAUGCCGUAGUUUUAUCGGGAAGACCGGACAAUGUUAGCAAUUUCGUCGAAGCAGAUGCAAUCUUCGGCUCAGUAAUCUUGUCCUCUCUUACUUUAUCUCUCGUUGCAGAAAGGAGGAAGCCACCAAGAGGAGAGCAUAAACGUCUAUAUGUUUGAUUUUUUGUUACAAUUGUACCUCUAAUUGCUGAAUAUAAUUCCUCCUUUUAAAGUUGGAUUUUUUAUCAGAGAAAAAUUGUUGAUGAUUUAUAGAGCUAAGGGCCCGUAAAAUUCCACAGACAAUGUUGGCCAUUGCUUAGAAAUUUUGUAGAUAGAUUGUGGCUUUGAUGUUUGCUCUCCAAGAAAAUUCCCAUCUUUCCUGCCAUCUAUCUUAUCAAUCUGGUGACUGCCACUGCCAUGGUUCAUCUUUCUUGCAGGGUACCCGGCUGGUAUACAAGCACCUCGCGACGCUGUAUUUUGUUUUUGUGUUUGAUGGUUGUGAAAACGAACUACCUAUGCUCGACCUCAGUCAAGUCCCUGUUAAGACACUGGACAGAUGCUUCAAGAAUGUCGGUGAGCUUGACAUAGUGUUUAACUUCAACAAGAAGGCCGAGACGGGCUCCACAAGAUUUCAUGUAAACUAUGUGAACGUGGAUUUCUUAUUCCCGGAUGCAUACUGUCCUAGAUGAAAUCAUAUUUGGAGGCCAGGUGCUGGAAACUAGUUCCUAGCAAGUGAUUAAAGCAGUCGAGGAAAUCUCAAGGCUAGAGAAAUCUUCCAAUUCAAUCAGCUGGGUGCCAAAGUCUGUAACCAGAAGGUUUGGCUGCUAGUCUGCUGCAAAUUUCAGGAUGUGGUUCCAGGACCAGUGCAUCACUGUGUAGGUUUCUUCAAUCUUCUGCAUUUGAGUUGAUAACAUCAACAGAUUGGGAGCUAGUUUGAGCCAUGGUGAAGGGAAACAGGAGACAUUUCACCGAGGCCAGACCGCACCUGGUAUAUUUGCUUGCAUUGCUAGGUACUAUGGAGGCUGGGCUGCCCCCUUUUAUAUGUUUACUGGGUUCGUCUGGAUUGAUUCAGUUUUUAGCAACUUCGAUACUGAUGGAUUUUCCAGAACUUAAAGGUGGUCGUGGAUCGGUCGGAUCCAAUCCAUGGUGCCAGAGUUUGAACAGGACUGUUCUUGCGUUGCCAUGGAGGAAUACGAAGGGAUCUCCUUUUCCCUUGCUUCUCUCCAUCUUCCAGCUUACGUUACUUGGAUUCCAACCUUGCCCUGCGUUUUAAGGGAAGACGGAGCGGAGCAGGUCAAAGGCCAACCCACGCCAGCCAGUAGUAGUCAUUCAUUCAGUUUACCUAUCUUCUCCACCACUCGCUCUUGCUUCCACGCCGGAGAUGCUCAAUCGAGCUUCGUGUGGCUCAGUCGUAGCCCUUUUGCCUUACAAAUGGGCAAGCGGAGACCGAGUUGGGCACCCUGUUUUGAUCACUAUUAAUGGUCUCCCACCUCGCGUGGCACCCUUCUCUCCAGUCGCCAUGAGAUCAGAUCACCAUUGCUUUGCAGUGUAGCACGCCACCUUGUUCAAUGGGUUUGAAUUCGCAUGUUUCUUGCCCCAUCUUGAGGUGGCGGUGGAGAGAUAGUGGUCUUCUUUUUCACCGAUGCAACAGCCAACGCCACCUCCGGGCUCCAGCUCAAGUCUUCCAAAAGAACCAUGCCGGAGUAAUAGAAUAUGAGAAGGAGAACAUGGUGACAUGGGGUUGGCAGUGAUGAAUCCUCCUAGCGUGGUAGCCUCGUCAGCCCUAAGGCAAGAACACAGGUGGCGCUGCCCUCCAAGCUCCUCAUCAUCCCCUCUUUUGAACGCUUGGAGGAGCAGCAGCGCAGCACAGCACUCACCCACUCUGCUUCAGCUCCGGUAUUGACAUGACACUCGAAAGUCCAACCAGAAGCCUAUAUAAACAAUAGUGGCGAUGUGAUCUUUUUUAGUCGCCUCCCCCUCCCCUGUUUCUUCUUUUGCAGCAGCCCAUGCCCCACCGAACUCAGCAUCUCCACCAAUGAUCCACCCUCACUGUAAUUAAUAGAUUUCUACUGCCAAAAGAACAGGAAAGCUGCAGUGACAUGGUGCUUGAUGAUGAUGAUGAUGAUGACGAUACUUGGUUUUCCCUCUAUAUUUUUGCAUGUGGGAGUUCUUUCGACCAUUCCAGCAAAUUGAGUACUUAGAAGAGCACCACAAGUUCCAAGAUUUAAUGGUGAGUUCCAGUUGGUGGAGGAGGUACAGGGAUGAUAAGGUUGUUUACUUCACAGGCAUCUCAUGAUGGUGCUCUAAGCUUUUACCAUUUUGUUGAACUAUCGGUGUAUCAUUAGGAGGACAGCUUUGGGAAUGCUUAAAUAGUCAGCUGCCAUGGGAGUUAUCAAAGAAGACGAGUAGGAAGAGUACUUCUGCAAUCACAUGCAGUACUUGUGCAACUUCACUUGAAGAUGGUGACAUUUGCGUGCUGGAUUCUGCAUGUACCUCUACUCGAGAAGUCCCAUCUGCUCUCCGAUGGGAACUGCGUAUCCUUGGGAAGAAAUGACCCUCUCAGGGUUACCAAGAUGGACAUAUUAGAUUCAUGUAUAUUCUCAAACCAUACAUCAGAUUAGAAUAGGAAAAGAAGGAAGGAAAUAGAGAAGGUUUUAAGGUCAAAGACACAAGAAUUUGUGCACUCAUUACACAUAGGAAAUGAGAUGAUCUGUUUCAGAA